AUUGAACGCUGGCGGCAGGCCUAACACAUGCAAGUCGAACGAGUGGCGGACGGGUGAGUAAUGUCUGGGAAACUGCCUGAUGGAGGGGGAUAACUACUGGAAACGGUAGCUAAUACCGCAUACCAUCAGAUGUGCCCAGAUUGGGUUAGCUAGUUGGUGGGGUAACGGCUCACAAAGGCGACGAUCCCUAGCUGGUCUUAGAGGAUGACCAGCCACACUGGAACUUAUACACGGUCCAGACUCCUACGGGAGGCAGCAGGGGGGAAUAUUGCACAAGGGGCGCAAGCCUGAUGCAGCCAUGCCGGUUGGAUGAAGAAGGCCUUCGGGUUUUAAAGUACUUUCAGCGGGGAGGCGUUACCCGCAGAAGAAGCACCGGCUAACUCCGUGCCAGCAGCCGCGGUAAUUC
rnacentral:rRNA from 1 species